UUUAGGUUCCGGAUGUGGAAUGCAGGCAACGACAAGAACAGCUUGCUAAACCGCAUAGACUUGGACUGCUAUGAUAGCACUACUGUCUACUGGUUCUAAUAAUAGUAAAGUUUUAUAAAGGAAUAAUAUCUACUUAUUUGAUAGAAUUCGAAAUCAGACAUAAAACUUUCAAGGUUACAUGUUAAUCAUCUUUCAACGUUAUAUUGCUGGAAUGGAAAAAGUAUGAAGAAAGAGCCUUUCAAAGAUUUAUUGUUAACUAAAUGCAUAAAAAAAUGUGUUCAUGCAAAUUCGAAACGGAUGACAAACAA